CAGGGCUGUCUUAGAGAAAUGACCAUGAGAAAACAGUGCAUCAGAAAGCUGUAGAUCAGCUGUCCUGGUAACUAGUUUCCUGAGGAGCUAUGGGAGGUUGAGUCCUACAAGCAAGAGUGUGUAGAGAAGUGUUGAUMACUUACCGAGUGCUGCAUCAAGUGCUGGAUGAACAAGUCUCUGAGAGCACCAGAACCAGGUAAGAAUUUAAAGGAAGGCGAAUGAUGAAAAGGCAAUGAUCUUUAAUAUUCAAGGAGGGUUCAUCUGGAA
rnacentral:lncRNA from 1 species